rnacentral:lncRNA from 1 species
AGUUGGCUGCGACCAGCGGUGACUUACAAGUUGGCUGCUGUCGCCUGCGCAUCGGCGGGCCGGGAGGCUGAGCAGUACUGUUGAGAGCGGUGUGAGGUGCUUGGUAGCGCGCCGUAGCUGCUUCCACGUCCUUGCUUCACCUCAGGUAAAGAAAGAUGUAACUGUUUGGAGAAAACCCUCAGAAGAAUUUAAUGGAUAUCUAAUUGCUGUGUGAUGCGUUACACUACUGCUGGUCAGCUUUGGAAUAUAAUUUCCCCAAGAGAAUUUGUUGAUUUCUCCUAUACUGUGGGCUAUAAAGAAGGGCUUUUAUCUUGUGGUAAUAAUCUCAACAUGUUAUGCUUUUUUUCAGUAUGGUUUAAAUAUUUGUGUUUUCUUGGCUGGAUGUCUCUUUCCUUGUGAGAUAUAUUUUCAACUCUGACUCUGUAAUCACUAACAUUUUUUGCAAGUGCUAAACUCUAGGGAGUAAAAUAGCAAUAUCAAAAGAGUUUUGAAACCCUUCUGAUAAGUUUUUGUUCCCAGUUACACAGUAUCCUCUAGGUCAGAGGUAGCAAAUGUGGAUCACAUGACUGCCUCUAAGAAAGGGUUCUAGUAAAUGGAUUUUCUUCUAAGCCACUCUCAGAAAACAGUUUCUUGGUCAUACACAGAGAAGUACUAGAUUUGGUGUGUCUUAGAAUAUUCUUCCUUCCUUGAGCUGUGUUGUAUUUUUCUU